GUAGGGUGGAUGCAGUGCAGACCUCUGCAUCAUCUUCCUGGUUCAUCCAUGAGUACUGUAUCUUAUCUUCCAACUGGCUCCCUGUAAAGAGUUCAGCAUGCCGGAACAACUGGCAAGUACUCCUCCAGAGCCUGCACAAGAUCAGCUGACGUGGAGCCACCUGCAAGCACCAAAAUUCAGACUGUCAGUCACCGGUUUCAGAAAAACACUUAGCUGCUGAUCAGGCGAACCAUGCUGUGUGAUGGCGCGUCUCCGGGGCCUGGUCACGGCCAGCGCCUCGCGAGCGGCCAUGGCCGCGAUCCGGCCCCUCGACGACGCCAGACGCUCGGUGAGCCUCCUCGGCAGGCUGUCGGUGAGCGGUGGCGGAGGCAGCUCCAAGGGCUCGGGGACCCGCAACCCGGGCACAAACACGGCCACCUCGCCGAUGCUCGCCGGUCGCCUCCUAAUGGCACUGGCGUCAUCCGGCUUGGAGCUGAAGCACCCCAUUGAACGAUAUACCCUGCACAAUCUGCAGCAGCUUUAAUGUCUGAGUGGUUGAUCAUCAGAUGGACUGGAUACAGGAACUGAUUCAGAGAUGGGAAUUUCACUGAACCGAGAGCACAACGAAGAUGGAUGUCACCUUGAUCUUCCGGUAAGAGGUCACUGACUGUAACGUAUGAGCUCGAGCUGCAAAGACCAACGGUGUGACGAAUUCAGGGGAAGGUGAAAUGGAAGAUGGAAAGUGAAGCUGCUAAGUGGCCGUGAUUUUGGUCAAUUGGAUGCCAGCAAGCAGAGAGAGCUCAAUUAUGUUGCUCACGAGGUUCACAUCCACGUCCACAACCACACCCAACAGCCAAAGUGGCUGCGAGAUCACGAGCAUGGUGAUCACUACCGCGUCAAUGUAUGAUCUCGCAACUAGUUAAUGUCUGACUUGUGUACUUAUUCUCCUUCUUUUCCGUGGAUUCGUUCAUGAAAAACUCAACUUCUCACCUUUCCCUUAAGCUGUUGAGCCGUGUGCUCUGCGGGAUGUUGGUUGCUCUCUGUUAAGGCUAGCUUGGUACUGUAAUAUGGUUACUUGCAAAA